ensembl:scaRNA SCARNA3 small Cajal body-specific RNA 3
GCUGGAAGCUGCAGGGUCUGACCAUGUGGACAAAUGAAAUGUCUUUUGUCUGCAUUUGCAGUCUUCCUAGAAUAAAUUGGAGGUCUCUGUCUGGUUUAGGACAGCUAGCUAAACCUGAUCGUUCCCCUCCAUACACU